rfam:Citrus sinensis cultivar Ridge Pineapple sweet orange scaffold00175_contig_5, whole genome shotgun sequence.
GAGACAAGAGGCUGUCCGCUUUGCCAAGGAGACUGCCUGCCAACCAAACGAAAAGGCUUCUAGCAGCUGCUUUAAUUCGUAACACUUAGUAAUAUUGCAAGCCGCAUGCAAGUCAUCCUUGGCUAUCAAACAAUACUCUUAUCU